CCAAUAGCGUAUAUUUAAGUUGUUGCAGUUAAAAAGCUCGUAGUUGAAUUUUGGGUUUGGCCGAUUGGUCCGUUCUUGUAGCGAGUACUGGUCGGUUGGGCCUCACCGCUUGGGGAAGGGUAAUGUCCUUUAUUGGGUGUUGCUCGGAGCCAAGACCUUUACCUUGAAAAAAUUAGAGUGUUUAAAGCAGGCUUAUGCCGGAAUACAUUAGCAUGGAAUAAUAGAAUAGGACAACGAUUCUAUUUUGUUGGUUUCUAGGACCGUUGUAAUGAUUAAUAGGGAUAGUUGGGGGCAUUAGUAUUCAAUUGUCAGAGGUGAAAUUCUUGGAUUUAUUGAAGACUAACUACUGCGAAAGCAUUUGCCAAGGAUGUUUUCAUUAAUCAAGAACGAAAGUUAGGGGAUCGAAGACGAUCAGAUACCGUCGUAGUCUUAACCAUAAACUAUGCCGACUAGGGAUCGGGCGAUGUUGUUUCAAUGACUCGCUCGGCACCUUAUG
rnacentral:misc_RNA from 1 species